UCCGAACACGGAAGUUAAGCUCUUCAGCGCCGAUGGUACUGCUCGGGUGACCGGGUGGGAGAGUAGGUCGCUGCCGAGA
rnacentral:rRNA from 1 species